UGCUGCCAUGGCUGUCUAUUCA
rnacentral:siRNA from 1 species